rnacentral:rRNA from 1 species
CGUGCAAAUCGAUCGUCAAAUUUGGGUAUAGGGGCGAAAGACUAAUCGAACCAUCUAGUAGCUGGUUCCUGCCGAAGUUUCCCUCAGGAUAGCAGAAACUCGUAUCAGAUUUAUGUGGUAAAGCGAAUGAUUAGAGGCCUUGGGGUUGAAACAACCUUAACCUAUUCUCAAACUUUAAAUAUGUAAGAACGAAGGCCGUCCUUGAUUGGACCGCUCGGCGAUUGA